rnacentral:rRNA from 1 species
GAUGAACGCUGGCGGCGUGCUUAACACAUGCAAGUCGAACGAAGCACUUUAAAACAAUCUUUCGGGUGCGUUUUAUUGUGACUUAGUGGCGGACGGGUGAGUAACGCGUGGGUAACCUGCCUCAUGCAGGGGGAUAACAGUUAGAAAUGACUGCUAAUACCGCAUAAGCGCACAGUACCGCAUGGUACAGUGUGAAAAGAUUUAUCAGCAUGAGAUGGACCCGCGUCUGAUUAGCUAGUUGGUGAGGUAACGGCUCACCAAGGCGACGAUCAGUAGGCGACUUGAGAGAGUGAUCGGCCACAUUGGGACUGAGACACGGCCCAAACUCCUACGGGAGGCAGCAGUGGGGAAUAUUGCACAAUGGGGGAAACCCUGAUGCAGCGACGCCGCGUGAGCGAUGAAGUAUUUCGGUAUGUAAAGCUCUAUCAGCAAGGAAGAUAAUGACGGUACUUGACUAAGAAGCCCCGGCUAACUACGUGCCAGCCGCCGCCGUAACAC